rnacentral:lncRNA from 1 species
ACCUUAAACAGAAAAGCCCAAUUAAUUUUCCUGAAUCAUUUCAAUCAGCUCAAGAUCCAGAACAGAUUUCUCAAUCAGAUAUUAGAAGAAUCAAAGAAAUGUUUGACAAGAUUGAAGAAAUACAGCAACAAGUUAAACAAAGUACUACAAAGAAAAAGAAGAUUCAGAUUAAAAAGAAAAAUAAAGGAAAAAAGAAAAUUGGAAAAGACUUGGAUAAUUUUGAAGACAAUAAUUCAGAAGAAGAUGUUAAUCCAGAA